CUUUAGAUUUUGCUUAUUAAAGGUUCCACUAGUGCAUUACCAACAGUACUUUUCACUUUGUUUCAUGUCCCAACUUUCACUUUGAAGAAAUCAUAUGGUAACUAUAUUGUUUAAUUUAGUAAAUUCAUGUAGGCAUUUAUGGCCAUGACUCUGUGUCUGGAUUUUGGAGAGUACCGCUGCCGACUUCCAUCUGUCUGCUGAAACACAAACACAACACGUGUUAUAGUUCUUUUGUUCAAGCGUAGUGAUAUUACUUGUGUACAGGGACUCAAGAACAUAUUAAGGAUGUAUGUUAAGAAGGUCAAUUGCUCAGAAUGGAACAAGUUUCACUUCCAUCAAGUGUCAGGUCAAUAGUUGCUUUAAAUCUUAAUAACUAUGCGAGUGGAAGAAAUCCAUGGGGUAAUCUGAAGCCAGAGUAUCUGGAGAAGAGAGGCUUUGUUGGGGCUCAUGUGAAUGAUGGUCUUCUAGAAAUUUUUAGCCUAAAACAAGGAUGGCAA